AUGCACGCUAGCGGGAGGCCUCACACAUGCCAGCCGAGCGGUAGAGUUUCUUCGGAAACUUGAGAGCGGCGCACGGGUGCGUAACACGUGUGCAACCUACCUUUAUCUGGGGGAUAGCCUUUCGAAAGGAAGAUUAAUACCCCAUAAUAUAAUGAUUGGCAUCAAUUAUUAUUGAAAACUCCGGUGGAUAGAGAUGGGCACGCGCAAGAUUAGAUAGUUGGUGAGGUAACGGCUCACCAAGUCAAUGAUCUUUAGGGGUCCUGAGAGGGAGAUCCCCCACACUGGUACUGAGACACGGACCAGACUCCUACGGGAGGCAGCAGUGAGGAAUAUUGGACAAUGGGUGAGAGCCUGAUCCAGCCAUCCCGCGUGAAGGAUGACGGUCCUAUGGAUUGUAAACUUCUUUUGUACAGGGAUAAACCUACCCUCGUGAGGGUAGCUGAAGGUACUGUACGAAUAAGCACCGGCUAACUCCGUG
rnacentral:rRNA from 1 species